AUUGAACGCUGGCGGCAUGCCUUACACAUGCAAGUCGAACGGCAGCGGACCUUCGGGUGCCGGCGAGUGGCGAACGGGUGAGUAAUAUAUCGGAACGUACCUUUCAGUGGGGGAUAACGUAGCGAAAGUUACGCUAAUACCGCAUAUUCUGUGAGCAGGAAAGCAGGGGAUCGCAAGACCUUGCGCUGAUUGAGCGGCCGAUAUCAGAUUAGCUAGUUGGUGAGGUAACGGCUCACCAAGGCGACGAUCCGUAGCUGGUCUGAGAGGACGACCAGCCACACUGGAACUGAGACACGGUCCAGACUCCUACGGGAGGCAGCAGUGGGGAAUUUUGGACAAUGGGGGCAACCCUGAUCCAGCCAUUCCGCGUGAGUGAAGAAGGCCUCGGUUGUAAGUACUCUUCGGUCAGGACGAAACGGUAGAGGGCGUAA
rnacentral:rRNA from 1 species